rnacentral:rRNA from 1 species
GAGCGAACAGAUAAGGAGCUUGCUCCUUUGACGUUAGCGGCGGACGGGUGAGUAACACGUGGGUAACCUACCUAUAAGACUGGGAUAACUUCGGGAAACCGGAGCUAAUACCGGAUAACAUUUGGAACCGCAUGGUUCUAAAGUGAAAGAUGGUUUUGCUAUCACUUAUAGAUGGACCCGCGCCGUAUUAGCUAGUUGGUAAGGUAACGGCUUACCAAGGCGACGAUACGUAGCCGACCUGAGAGGGUGAUCGGCCACACUGGAACUGAGACACGGUCCAGACUCCUACGGGAGGCAGCAGUAGGGAAUCUUCCGCAAUGGGCGAAAGCCUGACGGAGCAACGCCGCGUGAGUGAUGAAGGGUUUCGGCUCGUAAAACUCUGUUAUUAGGGAAGAACAAAUGUGUAAGUAACUGUGCACGUCUUGACGGUACCUAAUCAGAAAGCCACGGCUAACUACGUGCCAGCAGCCGCGGUAAUACGUAGGUGGCAAGCGUUAUCCGGAAUUAUUGGGCGUAAAGCGCGCGUAGGCGGUUUCUUAAGUCUGAUGUGAAAGCCCACGGCUCAACCGUGGAGGGUCAUUGGAAACUGGGAAACUUGAGUGCAGAAGAGGAAAGUGGAAUUCCAUGUGUAGCGGUGAAAUGCGCAGAGAUAUGGAGGAACACCAGUGGCGAAGGCGACUUUCUGGUCUGUAACUGACGCUGAUGUGCGAAAGCGUGGGGAUCAAACAGGAUUAGAUACCCUGGUAGUCCACGCCGUAAACGAUGAGUGCUAAGUGUUAGGGGGUUUCCGCCCCUUAGUGCUGCAGCUAACGCAUUAAGCACUCCGCCUGGGGAGUACGACCGCAAGGUUGAAACUCAAAGGAAUUGACGGGGACCCGCACAAGCGGUGGAGCAUGUGGUUUAAUUCGAAGCAACGCGAAGAACCUUACCAAAUCUUGACAUCCUUUGAAAACUCUAGAGAUAGAGCCUUCCCCUUCGGGGGACAAAGUGACAGGUGGUGCAUGGUUGUCGUCAGCUCGUGUCGUGAGAUGUUGGGUUAAGUCCCGCAACGAGCGCAACCCUUAAGCUUAGUUGCCAUCAUUAAGUUGGGCACUCUAGGUUGACUGCCGGUGACAAACCGGAGGAAGGUGGGGAUGACGUCAAAUCAUCAUGCCCCUUAUGAUUUGGGCUACACACGUGCUACAAUGGACAAUACAAAGGGCAGCUAAACCGCGAGGUCAUGCAAAUCCCAUAAAGUUGUUCUCAGUUCGGAUUGUAGUCUGCAACUCGACUACAUGAAGCUGGAAUCGCUAGUAAUCGUAGAUCAGCAUGCUACGGUGAAUACGUUCCCGGGUCUUGUACACACCGCCCGUCACACCACGAGAGUUUGUAACACCCGAAGCCGGUGGAGUAACCAUUUAUGGAGCUAG